rnacentral:rRNA from 1 species
CCCUUAGAUGUUCUGGGCCGCACGCGCGCUACACUGAUACGUUCAACGAGUUUACAACCUUGAUCGAAGGGUCUGGGUAAUCUUUUGAAUGCGUAUCGUGCUAGGGAUAGACUAUUGCAAUUAUUAGUCUUGAACGAGGAAUUCCUAGUAAACGCAAGUCAUCAGCUUGCAUUGAUUACGUCCCUGCCCUUUGUACACACCGCCCGUCGCUACUACCGAUUGAACGGUUUAGUGAGGGCCUCGGAUUGGUCUCGGCCCGCUCUUUACCGGGCGGCGCCGUUGGUCGAGAAGACGCUCGAACUUGAUCGUUUAGAGGAAGUAAAAGUCGUAACA